CCUACGGGUGGCAGCAGUAGGGAAUCUUCCACAAUGGGCGAAAGCCUGACGGAGCAACGCCGUGUGGGUGAAGAAGGUCUUCGGAUCGUAAAACUCUGUUGUUAGAGAAGAAAGCGCGUGAGAGUAACUGUUCAUGUUUUGACGGUAUCUAACCAGAAAGCCACGGCUAACUACGUGCCAGCAGCCGCGGUAAUACGUAGGUGGCAAGCGUUAUCCGGAUUUAUUGGGCGUAAAGGGAACGCAGGCGGUCUUUUAAGUCUGAUGUGAAAGCCCUCGGCUUAACCGGGGAAGUGCAUUGGAAACUGGGAGACUUGAGUGCAGAAGAGGAGAGUGGAACUCCAUGUGUAGCGGUGAAAUGCGUAGAUAUAUGGAGGAACACCAGUGGCGAAGGCGGCUCUCUGGGCUGUAACUGACGCUGAGGUUCGAAAGCGUGGGGAGCAAACAGGAUUAGAUACCCCAGUAGUC
rnacentral:rRNA from 1 species